rnacentral:rRNA from 1 species
AUAUUAAUCAGCGGAGGAAAAGAAACUAACAAGGAUUCCCUUAGUAACUGCGAGUGAACAGGGAUGAGCUCAAUGUGUGAAUCUUACCGUCCUCGUGGGUGGUUGAGAGUUGUGCACUAUGAACGUUGUGUCUGCGCUUGCAGGCCGGUGGCCAAAGUCCGGAAGGAUACGGCACUAGAGAGGGUUAUAGUCCUGUUCUCGCCAUCCGGUCCUGUGCGUCUAUGACCAGCGCUUCUCGAGUCGGAUAGUUUUGUAUUGCUGUCCCAAUGGGAGGUUGAUCCCUUCCAAAGCUAAAUAUUUAUGGCAUGACCGAUAGUAGACAAGUACCGCGAGGGAAAGGUGAAAAAGCAACCAUGAAGAAUGGGUUGAAACAGCAGUGAAAGUGCUACUGGGAUAAGGGCUCAUGGCGGCUGGUGCCGUAGGGGCGUGCUUUAGUGCUGCACCUGUGGACGGCCUGCGGGGAUGGAGACUUGGAGAUGUGGGCCAUGGGGAUGCACCUCCUUCUGGAGGCUUGAACCCGUGGUUCUGCGCGCCAUGCAGCCAUCUUUAUACCUACCUGGUAGUAGCAGGUCUUGUCGCCAUUAGCCGCCCGUCUUGAAACACGGACCAAGGAGUGCACCUUGCAUGCGAGUCUAAGGGAUUGGAAUCCUGGAGGCGUAGCGAAAGCGAAGCUGCGAACGUGUCAAAGCGGGCUGCGGCGCCCCCUGAGAGGGGAGGUUGAGCAUGUAGGGUGCGACCCGAAAGAUGGUGAACUAUGCCCGGGGAAGGUGAAGCCAGUGGAAACGCUGGUGGAGGCCUGUAACGGUUCUGACGUGCAAAUCGAUCGUGUCACCUGGGUAUAGGGGCGAAAGACCUAACGAACCGUCUAAUGGCUGGUUCCCUC